CGGCGGACGGGUGAGUAAUGUAUGGGGAUCCGCCUGAUGGCGGGGGAUAACUACUGGAAACGGUAGCUAAUACCGCAUAAUGUCUACGGACCAAAGCGGGGGACCUCCGGGGCCUCGCGCCAUCAGAUGAACCCAUAUGGGAUUAGCUAGUAGGUAAGGUAACGGCUUACCUAGGCGACGAUCCCUAGCUGGUCUGAGAGGAUGAUCAGCCACACUGGGACUGAGACACGGCCCAG
rnacentral:rRNA from 1 species